AACAGGACAAGCGUCUCUUCAUGCACGAAAUACAGAAUCGUGAAAUAGAGCCUUGCUACUCAGUACUCACGCGGGCAAUAGGAAGUUCUAAGUUUCUUUACAAAUCACUAACUCUUGAGCUCAGAAUCAAUUGUUUGACGGGUAUAAAUUGGAUUGGGGUCUACGUAUUGGCUCAAGGAGUAUUGAGGAACCGGAUUUGCAGGCGAGCAGGCUACGAGUUA